rnacentral:rRNA from 1 species
AAAGUCUGUUCGACUUAUAAAUAUUUACAUGAUUUGAGUUCAGACCGGUGAAAACCAGGUCGGUUUCUAUCUUUUUUAAAAAUACGCCAGUACGAAAGGACCCCGCAAUUUAUUAAAAAU